UCUCACGGCUCGUCCAAGUGUCCUGCGCGCGGAUCUGAGCAGGCGGUCGUUGUUGGGCAACUGCUAGCACAUAUUUGCUAGAUAUUUGCUUGCUUUGCAGGGAGCGGGGUCAUAGUCUGAAGAACUGUCCUGACAAAAGCGAGGGAAAUUUGAAGAAAUUUUGCUAGAACUGUGGUGAAUCUGGACACUGUCUUUCCAAGUGCCCCAAGCCCAUUGAGAAUGGGUUACAAAUUUUGCAACCUGCUUUAUCUGCAAUCAGCAAGGACAUUUGAGCAAGAACUGUCCUGAAAACAAACAUGGCAUCUAUCCAAAGGUAUCAUGAUACUCAUGCCUUCUCAAUUCUCAUGAUACUGCGAAUGGGCAUGGCUUCGAUUAUGGGAAACAAAUAUGACAUGUGCUCAUGCCUAACAUGAAGUGUUUUUGGUUAGUUAUCAUUCUUUUUAGUUGCCUAAAAUGGAGAAAAAAGAAGAUUGUAUUGUCUCUGCCACUCGUCACUAGGAAGUCAGCCCCCCCUUUAACUCAUUUCUGGAUCCGCCACUGCCCGGUUCCCUUGUUAGCUGUGUUGUACAAGUGUUUCAAACUGUACACAAUGCUUAUAAAUUUUUUUGCUCCUUUCAUUACUCGACUACUUUGUUACCAGUAAUCUAGAUGUUUCAACUAUAUACCUAAUCAUUGACCAUUUCUAAAUGAAUGCACUUGCUAGAAAAUUACUUGUUCAUCGUGUUUUUAUUCUCAUCCUGCCUGUUGGAAUCUUGCAGCUGAUCACUCUUAAAAAACUAACGGGUCCUGGUGUGAGUGGCAGAACUAUUGGAUAGGAUCGCCCUGAGGGCACUCAACAUCACCACUGUUGUACAAAAGUAGGCCAAUUGACAUAUACACUUUGUUCAUUUAUGUUGGUCGAUUCUACCCAGUUUAAAGAGAGACUAAAAUGUGGGCGUUGUUGCUUGUGUCCAUCCAUGCCGCAAGCUGUAAUAUUUUCUUCUAAUAAGCUUUUAUACAUUACCUCUCUUGUUGACUGGUUGACCAUUUGUGCAGAGGCAACCCUUUCCAGUAGGGUCACGCCCGUCUGGUAAGAGGGUCGUUGUUAAGUUGCCUGAUUAAUCCCUUGUCUUUCACUGUGUCUGCAUGUUGCAGUAGAUGCCAGCAGAUCAUGAAGCGCCCAAAUGGUGCUGAGCUACAGUACUAUCAGAAGCUGAAUAGAUUGCUGCUGGAAUUAGAGCAAAGGAGUGGAGGAGUUUCUGAAGAGAG